UACGGAGGGUGCAAGCGUUGUUCGGAAUUACUGGGCGUAAAGAGCGUGUAGGCGGCCGAUCAAGUCCGGUGUGAAAGCCCGGGGCUUACCCCCGGAAGUGCGCUGGAAACUGAUCGGCUCGAGUAUGGGAGAGGGAAGUGGAAUUCCUGGUGUAGCGGUGAAAUGCGUAGAUAUCAGGAGGAACACCGGCGGCGAAGGCGGCUUCCUGGACCAAUACUGACGCUGAGACGCGAAAGCGUGGGGAGCAAAC
rnacentral:rRNA from 1 species